rnacentral:rRNA from 1 species
UGAGUACGAGAUGCUACGGCAUCGAAGCAGUCUAUGUCAUACUUCCAAGAAAAGCUUGCAAUGUCAUAAACAAAUAAUGCCUGUACCAUAACCGACACAGGUGGGUAGGUAGAGUAUACUAAGGGGCGCGAGAUAACUCUCUCUAAGGAACUCGGCAAAAUGACUCCGUAACUUCGGGAGAAGGAGUGCCUUAUUUUUAUAAGGUUGCAAUAACAAGAUCCAAGCAACUGUUUACCAAAAACACAGGUCUCCGCUAAGUCGUAAGACGAUGUAUGGGGGCUGACGCCUGCCCAGUGCCAGAAGGUUAAAGAAGUUGGUUAGCAUUAGCGAAGCUGAUAACUGAAGCCCUGGUGAACGGCGGCCGUAACGAUAACGGUCCUAAGGUAGCGAAAUUCCUUGUCGGGUAAGUUCCGACCCGCACGAAAGGCGUAAUGAUUUGGAUAUUGUCUCGGAGAGGGGCUCGGUGAAAUAGACUUGUCUGUGAAGAUGCGGACUACCUGCACCUGGACAGAAAGACCCUAUGAAGCUUUACUGUAACUUGAGAUUGAAAUUGGACUUUAUCUGCGCAGUAUAGGUGGGAGACGUUGAAAAUAUUCUUGCGGGAAUAUUGGAGUCAUCAGUGAGAUACCACUCUUAUAAUGUUAGAUUUCUAACUUUGUAUCAUUAUCUGGUCAAAGAACAGUUUCAGGCGGGCAGUUUGACUGGGGCGGUCGCCUCCCAAACGGUAACGGAGGCGCACAAAGGUUUCCUCUGAACGUGUAGAAAUCGUAUCUAGAGUGUAAAGGCAUAAGGAAGCUUGACUGUGAGACCUACAAGUCGAGCAGGGACGAAAGUCGGUCUUAGUGAUCUGACGGUGCUGAGUGGAAAGGCCGUCACUCAACGGAUAAAAGUUACUCUAAGGAUAACAGGCUGAUCUCCCCCAAGAGUUCACAUCGACGGGGAGGUUUGGCACCUCGAUGUCGGCUCAUCGCAUCCUGGGGCGGUAGUACGUCCCAAGGGUUGGGCUGUUCGCCCAUGAAAGCGGUACGCGAGCUGGGUUCAGAACGUCGUGAGACAGUUCGGUCCAUAUCCGGUGUAGGCGUUAGAAUAUUGAGAGGAGCCUUCUUUAGUACGAGAGGACCGAGAAGGACAUACCUCUGGUGUACCAGUUAUCGUGCCAACGGUAAACGCUGGGUAGCCAUGUAUGGAGAGGAUAACCGCUGAAAGCAUCUAAGUGGGAAGCCCACCUCAAGAUAAGUA